UACGUAGGGUGCGAGCGUUGUCCGGAAUUAUUGGGCGUAAGAGCUCGUAGGCGGCUUGUCGCGUCGGAUGUGAAAGCCCGGGGCUUAACUCCGGGUCUGCAUUCGAUACGGGCAGGCUAGAGUUCGGUAGGGGAGAUCGGAAUUCCUGGUGUAGCGGUGAAAUGCGCAGAUAUCAGGAGGAACACCGGUGGCGAAGGCGGAUCUCUGGGCCGAUACUGACGCUGAGGAGCGAAAGCGUGGGGAGCGAACGGG
rnacentral:rRNA from 1 species